GUUUCUGUUGUUGAAGUCCAGCUUUAAUCCAUGGUGGUCUGAAAAGAUACAAGGCAUACUUUCCAUUUUCUUGUAUCUGUUGAGGCUUGCUUUGUAACUGACUAUAUGGUCAAUCUUGGAGAAGGAUCUAUGAUUGUAUAAACAUUUCUCAUGUAAAAGGAGACAAAGUUUCAGAAGUCCUGCCAUGUUCUGUGGACAUGUUGACGAGUACUCUAUACUUGAACAUUAAGCAUUUUAAUGUUUGCAAAGUCAGGAGUAAUGCAAACAUUUUUGUAAAGCAAAAUAUAACGUUUACAUGCUGGAUUGGUGGUUUCCUGAAGAAGGGGUGGUCUCCUGAUGGUCUUAAGAAUUCUAUGAAUGUCAAGAAUGUGGAAGACUCUGAUUUGAAGGCAAUUUCACCAGAACUCCAUUUCUCUUUGUGACUGAAAUGGACAUAUGCUUAGCAGUAGAGCUUCAUCUGGUACAGAUGAACCAGAAUCAGCAAGACAGUUUUUGAAGCUCAGUUUCCUGACUACCAACCUACAGUUUCUGAGUUCUGGUUUCCCAAGAGAAGACCGCCGAACACAAGGUCAGAAGAUCAGAAGACUGGGCUGUGAGAAUUUUCUUGUUGGCAUCCAUACAAAUAACACCUCUAAUGCUCUUUAUCUUCAUUUUGUCACUGAAAAUAAAAAGAUCAAGAUUGUUCCACAUCAAUAAACUUGGAUUCCCUCCUUUCCACUGUCAAAAUCAGGAUCACAUUCUUUGAUAGUAACACAAUUAUAAUCUGUCAGAAUUUAUUAAAUAGGUAUUGCUUAUGGCUCCAUUUCUUUGAUUUAUUGACUACAAUUAUCAUGAAAAUCAAUUUCUACCUAUUAAAAACAUGCAUAUCUUUGAAGAAAUGUAUUUAUAGCUGUAUACCACUUUUAUUAUAGAGAAAUAUGUAGAGAUAAGAAGUCAAGAUUCAGAUCUUGAGCUUUUAAAACAGGAGAUGGUUAAUUUUUAUAAACUUAUAGUAUACAAAAUCCAAAAAAAUCACAACUGAGACUCACUGAUUUCCAUCUGCAUUUUGAAAUCAUUCACAGCUUCUCUUAAUAGAGACUGAGAUCCUUUUGCAUAAGUGGAGACAGAAUACUAAACAACAUAGAAAUGCUUCCUGACCCUGUGCUGUUCAAAGGCUAGUGGGACAAAUAAACCUUGAAAUGAAAACUCC
rnacentral:lncRNA from 1 species